UAGCUCAGUGGCAGAGCACUUGCCUAGCAUGCAUGAGGCCUUGAGUUCAAUCCUCAA
rnacentral:tRNA from 1 species